rnacentral:tRNA from 1 species
ACACAACUUACUCAGACGGUAAAGCAUCUGUCUGCAAGACAGGAGACCCGGGUUCGAUCCCUGGGUUGGGAA